GCUGAAGUAGUUCAGUGGUAGAAUACAACCUUGCCAAGGUUGGGGUCGCGGGUUCGAAUCCCGUCUUCCGCUCCA
rnacentral:tRNA from 1 species